rnacentral:rRNA from 1 species
ACGGCUCAGUAACACGUGGAUAACCUGCCCUUGGGUCCGGCAUAACCCCGGGAAACUGGGGAUAAUUCCGGAUAACGCACAUAUGCUGGAAUGCUUUAUGCGUCAAAUGGAUUCGUCUGCCCAAGGAUGGGUCUGCGGCCUAUCAGGUAGUAGUGGGUGUAAUGUACCUACUAGCCGACGACGGGUACGGGUUGUGAGAGCAAGAGCCCGGAGAUGGAUUCUGAGACAUGAAUCCAGGCCCUACGGGGCGCAGCAGGCGCGAAAACUUUACAAUGCGGGAAACCGUGAUAAGGGGACACCGAGUGCCAGCAUCAUAUGCUGGCUGUCCGGGUGUGUAAAAUACACCUGUUAGCAAGGGCCGGGCAAGACCGGUGCCAGCCGCCGCGGUAACACCGGCGGCCCGAGUGGUGAUCGUGAUUAUUGGGUCUAAAGGGUCCGUAGCCGGUUUGGUCAGUCCUCCGGGAAAUCUGACGGCUUAACCGUUAGGCUUUCGGAGGAUACUGCCAGGCUUGGAACCGGGAGAGGUAAGAGGUACUACAGGGGUAGGAGUGAAAUCUUGUAAUCCCUGUGGGACCACCUGUGGCGAAGGCGUCUUACCAGAACGGGUUCGACGGUGAGGGACGAAAGCUGGGGGCACGAACCGGAUUAGAUACCCGGGUAGUCCCAGCCGUAAACGAUGCUCGCUAGGUGUCAGGCAUGGCGCGACCGUGUCUGGUGCCGCAGGGAAGCCGUGAAGCGAGCCACCUGGGAAGUACGGCCGCAAGGCUGAAACUUAAAGGAAUUGGCGGGGGAGCA